GUCAGAUCAAAUUGUAUGGACAGCAUGUAUAUUUAUGAACACAAUACCUCCAAACAGAGAUUAGAUACCACUACGCAAUGCAAAUGGAUGAAAGAUGAGUAACCGUAUGUCAUGUGAAACUCUUCAAUGAAACUAAAAACAUAAAUACUAAACUUUGCCCAGACAAGCACAUCACUGCUGCAGACAAGUUUUUAUUUCCCCAAAUACCAUUUACUAGAGUUUAACUACAGUAAUCCAAUAUUUGGUUUGAACAUGCAUCUUAAAUGUUGCCUUAGCUCAGCUAUUCCAGUAGCUUUAUUUGGAACAAAACCCAUGUAGCUGGGAAUUUCUAGGGAGGGACUUCAUGUAUUUGCACAAAGUAGUGAGGCUCAUGACCUGAUGAGAACUGCUGGUGGGUGAUGGCAGUUUAAGUGAUCCCUACAGUUCUGCUCAGUUGCACUGCUCUGGUUGCAUUCAAUUUCAAUACUAAGGAUGUGGUAACAACUAAAAACCUUCUACAGCGUGGAUCCAAACCCUUUUGAUACACUUCUCCCUCAAAGUCAGACAUUGGUCCUCUUCACCGCUCUUCAACUCCUCUUGCCCCCAGACCUGGGCAUCAUUCAUCAUUCCCAAACUUCAUUUUCUGCACCAGCUCAUACCACUCCAGACAGCAAGAACUUUGACACCAGCUUUCUUGAUGGUGCGAGUAAAUCCCAAGUUUUAUUUGUCUCACAACGCUUAAGACUAGGAGCUGUUGAAUGCAUUUGCCUCUCAUUUAUACUUUUUGUCAACAGACUUUUCAGAGACUUAGAGUACAAAUGAUGACACCACAGCCCGCAACUCAGUAGUUAUAAAAUGCACCUGAACCAUCUCACUCUAUUUUGUUGCUGCAAAAAAAAAAAAAA
ensembl:lncRNA